rnacentral:rRNA from 1 species
GACGAACGCUGGCGGCGUGCCUAAUACAUGCAAGUCGAACGAGAGCAACCGGUGUUUGCACUGGUCAAUCUAGUGGCGAACGGGUGAGUAACACGUGGGUAACCCGCCCAUCAGAGGGGGAUAACAUACGGAAACGGAAGCUAAAACCGCAUAGGUCUUCGAACCGCUUGGUUCGAAGAGGAAAAGAGGCGCAAGCUUCUGCUGAUGGCUGGACCCGCGGUGCAUUAGUUAGUUGGUGAGGUAACGGCUCACCAAGGCCGGGAUGCGUAGCCGACCUGAGAGGGUGAUCGGCCACACUGGGACUGAGACACGGCCCAGACUCCUACGGGAGGCAGCAGUAGGGAAUCUUGCGCAAUGCGCGAAAGCGUGACGGAGCAACGCCGCGUGGGUGAAGAAGGUCUUCGGGUUGUAAAACUCUGUUGUUAGGGAAGAACGAGUGCUGGAGUAACUGUUAGCGGCUUGACGGUACCUAAACAAAAAGCCACGGCUAACUACGUG